rnacentral:rRNA from 1 species
UACAGGGGGGGGCAAGCGUUGUUCGGAAUUACUGGGCGUAAAGGGUCUGUAGGUGGCCAACUAAGUCGGACGUGAAAUCCCUCAGCUUAACUGGGGAACUGCGUCUGAUACUGGAUGGCUCGAGUGUGGGAGAGGAAUGCGGAAUUCCAGGUGUAGCGGUGAAAUGCGUAGAUAUCUGGAGGAACACCGGUGGCGAAGGCGGCAUUCUGGACCAUAACUGACACUGAGAGACGAAAGCCAGGGGAGCAAACGGG